rnacentral:rRNA from 1 species
AUGCCGGGGCGGCGGCCCCGGGGACGCGGAGGCAGGGGAGUGCGGUGGCCAGCGGUUCCCGGCGUGGGGGCUACGGGAUGGCCUCGUUUCGGGGGUCCGUGCUCUCCCAGAUCCGGCCAGGACGGCGGCUUCCAUGGCGGGUCUCCGCGCAUGGCGGGCGGGCUGGAGCGUGGCUGCUCCGGCUGGCGUCUGCUGAUCCGUGGUGGUGGCGGUGUGCCACGGAUAGACGGGGGCGGCGCGGCGGCGUCGCUCGAGGUGGUGGAGAGAUGUCCUGGUGAUGGCGGUGUUGGCCCAUGGAUGGUAGGCGGGUGUUGGUUGGUGGCGGAGCGGCUCCGGAAAGUGGAUCCUCAGUGUGGAAGCCAGGGCGGCGGCCCCGGAAAACCGUGCGGCAAGGUGGCGCGGUGGUUCGAGAUCUUGGCGGCGUGUGGUUGCUGCCGGCUGAUCUGUGGCUCGACGAGGGCGACAUGCUACUUCCCUUUCCACGGUAAUGGCCCGAGGUGA